rnacentral:rRNA from 1 species
GCACAAGCGGUGGAUGAUGUGGAUUAAUUCGAUGCAACGCGAAAAACCUUACCUACCCUUGACAUGUCUGGAACCUUGGUGAGAGCCGAGGGUGCCUUCGGGAGCCAGAACACAGGUGCUGCAUGGGCUGUCGUCAGCUCGUGUCGUGAGAUGUUGGGUUAAGUCCCGCAACGAGCGCAACCCUUGUCACUAGUUGCCAUCAUUUGGUUGGGCACUCUAGUGAGACUGCCGGUGACAAACCGGAGGAAGGUGGGGAUGACGUCAAGUCCUCAUGGCCCUUAUGGGUAGGGCUUCACACGUCAUACAAUGGUCGGUACAGAGGGUUGCCAAGCCGCGAGGCGGAGCCAAUCCCACAAAGCCGAUCGUAGUCCGGAUUGUUCUCUGCAACUCGAGAGCAUGAAGUCGGAAUCGCUAGUAAUCGCAGGUCAGCAUACUGCGGUGAAUACGUUCCCGGGUCUU